GUCCCCGUAGUGAAGCAGUUAUCAUACGUGACUUUCUAUCACGUGUCGAGGGUGCGAAUCCCUCCGGGGAUU
rnacentral:tRNA from 1 species